rnacentral:rRNA from 1 species
AGUGAACGCUGGCGGUAGGCCUAACACAUGCAAGUCGAACGGCAGCACAGUAAGAGCUUGCUCUUACGGGUGGCGAGUGGCGGACGGGUGAGGAAUACAUCGGAAUCUACUUUUUCGUGGGGGAUAACGUAGGGAGACUUACGCUAAUACCGCAUACGACCUACGGGUGAAAGCAGGGGAUCUUCGGACCUUGCGCGAUUGAAUGAGCCGCUGUCGGAUUAGCUAGUUGGCGGGGUAAAGGCCCACCAAGGCGACGAUCCGUAGCUGGUCUGAGAGGAUGAUCAGCCACACUGGAACUGAGACACGGUCCAGACUCCUACGGGAGGCAGCAGUGGGGAAUAUUGGACAAUGGGCGCAAGCCUGAUCCAGCCAUACCGCGUGGGUGAAGAAGGCCUUCGGGUUGUAAAGCCCUUUUGUUGGGAAAGAAAAGCAGCAGGUUAAUACCCCGCUGUUCUGACGGUACCCAAAGAAUAAGCACCGGCUAACUUCGUG